ACCGGCGCACGGGUGAGUAACACGUAUGCAACCUGCCUGUAAGAGGGGAAUAACCCGUUGAAAGACGGACUAAUACCGCAUAAAACUGGGAAUCUGCAUGGAUAUUCAGUUAAACAUUUAUGGCUUACAGAUGGGCAUGCGCAUGAUUAGAUAGUUGGAGAGGUAACGGCUCCCCAAGUCAACGAUCAUUAGGGGUUCUGAGAGGAAGGUCCCCCACACUGGUACUGAGACACGGACCAGACUCCUACGGGAGGCAGCAGUGAGGAAUAUUGGUCAAUGGGCGAGAGCCUGAACCAGCCAAGUCGCGUGCAGGAAGAAUGUCCUAUGGAUUGUAAACUGCUUUUGCAGGGGAAUAAAGUGAGCCACGUGUGGUUUUUUGUAUGUACUCUGCGAAUAAGGAUCGGCUAACUCCGUGCCAGCAGCCGCGGUAAUACGGAGGAUCCGAGCGUUAUCCGGAUUUAUUGGGUUUAAAGGGUGCGUAGGCGGGAUAAUAAGUCAGUGGUGAAAGUUUGCAGCUCAACUGUAAGAUUGCCGUUGAAACUGUUAUUCUGAGAGUAGAUAAGGUAGGCGGAAUGCGUGGUGUAGCGGUGAAAUGCAUAGAUAUCGCGCGGAACGCCGAUUGCGAAGGCAGCUUACUAAGCUACGACUGACGCUGAGGCACGAAAGCGUGGGGAUCAAACGGGAUUAGAGACCCUGGUAGUCCACGCC
rnacentral:rRNA from 1 species